rnacentral:misc_RNA from 1 species
UUAAGUUCAGCGGGUAUCCCUACCUGAUCCGAGGUCAACCAGAAGAAAAAAUUGGUUAAGACUGAGCCGGAAAACCGCCGUGACGCGUGCUGAAGAGCUCGCUGCAUCCAGGGUCCACACAGGCUCUGCCAUUAUCUUUGAGGUCUGUUGGAGGUUGAUCCAAUGUGACCCAACAGCAAGCCGGGCUUGAGGGUUGAUAA